GACGAACGCUGGCGGCGUGCUUAACACAUGCAAGUCGAACGGAAAGGCCCUUCUGGGUACGCGAGCGGCGGACGGGUGCGUAACACGUACGUAAGCGGCCCCAGCCUUUGGGUUAACCAUCGGAACCGGAGGCUAGUACCGAAUACGAAACAGCUUCGCAUGGGGUCUGUGUGGAAAGUUUUUCGGUUUGGGAUGGGCUCGCGGCCGAUCAGCUUGUUGGUGGGGUGAUGGCUUACCAAGGCGACGACGGGUAGCCGGCCUGAGAGGGCGACCGGCCACACUGGGACUGAGACACGGCCCAGACUCCUACGGGAGGCAGCAGUGGGGAAUAUUGCACAAUGGGCGGAAGCCUGAUGCAGCGACGCCGCGUGCGGGAUGACGGCCUUCGGGUUGUAAACCUCUUUCAGCAGGGACGAAGCGUAAGUGACGGUACUGGCAGAAGAAGCGCCGGCCAACUACGUG
rnacentral:rRNA from 1 species